CGGACGGGUGAGUAACACGUGGAUAACCUACCUAUAAGACUGGGAUAACUUCGGGAAACCGGAGCUAAUACCGGAUAAUAUAUUGAACCGCAUGGUUCAAUAGUGAAAGACGGUUUUGCUGUCACUUAUAGAUGGAUCCGCGCCGCAUUAGCUAGUUGGUAAGGUAACGGCUUACCAAGGCAACGAUGCGUAGCCGACCUGAGAGGGUGAUCGGCCACACUGGAACUGAGACACGGUCCAGACUCCUACGGGAGGCAGCAGGA
rnacentral:rRNA from 1 species